rnacentral:rRNA from 1 species
GCCAGCAGCCAUAUCACCCUGCAACUCUCAACUAGCAACCCACUGAAGCUAGGCAGGUGUGAAUCUGGUUAGUACCUGGAUGGGAGACCUCCUGGGAAAAACUAAGGUUGCUGCUGGAA